rnacentral:rRNA from 1 species
CACUCCUACGGGAGGCAGCAGUGGGGAAUUUUGGACAAUGGGCGAAAGCCUGAUCCAGCAAUGCCGCGUGAGUGAAGAAGGCCUUCGGGUUGUAAAGCUCUUUUGUCAGGGAAGAAACGGUGAGAGCUAAUAUCUCUUGCUAAUGACGGUACCUGAAGAAUAAGCACCGGCUAACUACGUGCCAGCAGCCGCGGUAAUACGUAGGGUGCAAGCGUUAAUCGGAAUUACUGGGCGUAAAGCGUGCGCAGGCGGUUUUGUAAGUCUGAUGUGAAAUCCCCGGGCUCAACCUGGGAAUUGCAUUGGAGACUGCAAGGCUAGAAUCUGGCAGAGGGGGGUAGAAUUCCACGUGUAGCAGUGAAAUGCGUAGAUAUGUGGAGGAACACCGAUGGCGAAGGCAGCCCCCUGGGUCAAGAUUGACGCUCAUGCACGAAAGCGUGGGGAGCAAACAGGAUUAGAUACCCCGGUAGUCCCAU